UGCCCCGGGGCCGUGGGCGGGGCUCCUUGCGCAGGCGCAGCGCUUCCCCUCUUGCCAUAAUGCGGCGGCGGCGGCGACGGGCGGGGGAGGCCGAGUCGCUCCUCAAUGGCGCCCAAGCAAGACCCGAAGCCUAAAUUCCAAGAGGGUGAGCGGGUGCUGUGCUUCCACGGGCCUCUCCUGUACGAAGCCAAGUGCGUCAAGGUGGCCAUCAAGGACAAGCAGGUGAAGUACUUCAUCCACUACAGCGGCUGGAACAAGAACUGGGAUGAAUGGGUUCCAGAAAGCAGAGUCCUCAAAUACGUCGACACCAAUCUGCAGAAGCAGAAAGAACUUCAAAAGGCCAAUCAGGAACAGUAUGCAGAAGGAAAGAUGAGAGGGGCUGCUCCAGGCAAGAAAACGUCUGGACUCCAGCAGAAAAAUGUUGAAGUAUUCUUCAGGCGAGACGGAGCACACACCGUUUGCAGUUUGGAAACACCUGCAAUAUCGACACGGAAGACCAAAAAGAACAAACAGAAAACUCCAGGAAUUGGCGAGGGAAGCAGCUCCAGUGAAAAUCCUCAGCCUCCCAGGAAGAAAAGAGCUCGAGUAGACCCUACGGUGGAAAGUGAAGAAACUUUUAUGAACAGAGUUGAAGUAAAGGUAAAAAUACCAGAAGAGCUGAAGCCGUGGCUUGUAGAUGACUGGGAUUUGAUUACACGCCAAAAGCAGCUCUUCUACCUUCCGGCUAAGAAGAAUGUUGACUCAAUUUUAGAGGACUAUGCAAACUACAAGAAGUCCCGAGGAAACACAGAUAACAAGCUGUGCAUCAGAGAAUAUGCUGUGAAUGAAGUUGUGGCAGGCAUCAAAGAAUACUUCAACGUAAUGCUGGGGACCCAACUGUUGUAUAAAUUUGAGCGGCCACAGUAUGCAGAAAUCUUAGCGGAUCAUCCAGACGCACCCAUGUCCCAAGUCUAUGGAGCGCCGCACCUCCUCCGGUUGUUUGUCAGGAUUGGAGCAAUGCUUGCUUACACACCUCUUGAUGAGAAGAGCUUGGCCUUGCUGUUGAACUAUUUGCACGACUUUCUAAACACCAUCCUUUGUUAUGGAAAGUUGUAUGUUGCCACUGCAGCAGCAUCAUGUUGAAGGGCUUGAAACGGUCUCCACGCCCCAUUUCCCCUGCUCCAGAGAGAUCAUUGGCAGAAGCAAAAGCAGGAGGAGGGAUAGUGAUGUGGGUACAGCAGUGGCCCAGGUAUUUAGCCAAGAAUUCUUCAGCACUGUUCAGUGCAAGCGACUAUGAGGUGGCACCUCCAGAAUAUCACCGGAAAGCUGUGUGAGCCACGUGCUAUAACAGCACAUAGGAGAUGGCAGAUUACCAGGAAAGAUCCUUUGGUCUCUGCAGCUGCCCACUAAGUUCCACGUUUGUCCACAGUCCCUUCCUUGCACAUGCAUCUCUGCACAAAUGGCAAAAGUGUUUGUGUCGUCAGUUGGAACUGCCACCAUCUGAGUCCCAAGGGUGUUCCUUCAGUCCUGAAGGAAGGAAGACCGGCUCCUGGGAUACUUUACUGCAGCGGUUUGAUGUUGGAAUGUCGCUGGAAAUGCACGGUGGUUUCAUAGUCCGAACUCCUGCAUGCUUCUUGGUCCAUUUUCUUUGGAGCAAAGCCUUACCUGCUGCUGACGGUUUGAUGCCGUGUUGUCAACCUUUCCCACAAACAAACUGGCUGCCAGUAUUGGAGGGAGGGGGAUCAAGCACAGAUGGGGGGGGAGGGAAUGGUCCUUGUGUGCUUUCUUGGUGUUGGGAGGGUAAAAUGUUGUGAACGUGUCUGUUCUUUGCAUAGCUGAAGAAUUGUGGGAUUAGUAGGUGGGGUUGAAUGCACCUUCUAGCAUAGGAGGAAUUUGCCAAGGUCCCCCCAGGUGUGGUGAUAUGGUAUUCUCUGCAGGAGAUAAGUAUAAGUCUCCAAAUAAAAUUUUCUACUUCAGCUGUUAAAGGCUUAAGUCUAUUUGUACUUUUUUGCAAAACCACUUUGAUCUUUAAAUGUUGAAGGGUAACUGAUUCUUGCCAAAGUUCAAUGCUAAAGAAUUUGAUCAUUGUUGCUGCCAAAUGCAAAUUCUGAACUGUAGUGGGGCAGACAUGGCUGGCAUUCAUUCUGCAGCAGCAACGCUUUAAGGCCAAGUGUCCAAUAAUCCAACGACCAGGUCCAGGCCAGGGAAACCAAGUCAAAAGAAUAGGUUGGAGUUCCUCUCGCCCACUCCAAUUCCCAUUGUAUUCGACUGAUAAUGAUGGGAUUCCAAAGCUACGUUGUACACCCCAUAUUCUAAUAUCCCACCCCCAGCACAGAGCAGAGAGAUUGGAGAGGAAGAGAUUUCAAGAGUAAGCUGUUUGCUCUACUACACUUCAGAGCAACACAGUUGUGCUGGCAGUGUGGAAAGGCGAAACAAAGGGGAGAUCUACAGAAAUUGCUUUGGUCCCUGUCUCCCCCCCCCCCCCCGGCCCCCAACAAAGAUUGGAGAGGAGGAGAUUGUAAGUACUGUAAGCAAGGAGUCCCCAAUCUCAGUCUUGGUUCCAAGCCAGUCCCCCUCGUCACUUCUCAUGCUGGUCUUCUCAGCUCUGGUCUGUCUUCCGGGCUACUGUUCUCCCAAUCAAGCAACUUUCUCCACUGGCCCAGCUGGUCUUCCAGGCCAAGUCCUUUCCACCUUCUUUUAACCAUAAAACUAUGAAAGUUCCAUCAUUCAUCACAAAAUGUAUAUUUAAGCUACAAUCCCUCUUCCAAAACUCCAACCUUGCAUGUGUGAACUGUUUGUCCCCUCUAAUACAAUCUCAGAGUAAAUCUUA